UGUAAGCCAGCCCAUGAAUCCCCAGUUCUUCCUCUUCUCGCUGUCUCCUCUGCGGGAUCCCGGUGUCUUCAGCGACGACCGUUCCGGCGUCUGACAUUGCUUCGACUCCGACAUGGCGGACCGCGAUAGCCUCGCGCGGCUGAGCCCAUCUCCGUCGACGUGCACAAGCAAAGGUACCUCCAUAGACUUAGCCUGCAAAAGCGGAUCUGUCGAGCCGAGCUCUGCAUCUGCUCCGGUUCCAUUUCCUCCAUUGAGCAACCAUGCUGUAGUGAGUAUGAUGUCAAUACGGAAGGACCUGAAGGAGCCAAGGAUGUUAAUCUUCCAUCCAUGGAAUUGGGUCCCUGGAGAAACGUGAGGUAAUUUGUUUUUUUUUGAUUCGACAGUAUAAGUGCAGUCCUAUUGUUUUGUGAUAACGGGCCAUCAACAUCAAUCCUGCCCGAGUCUUGUCCACUGCUAGGUUUCGAUUAGAUUUUCAUAUCACAAUAUCUUUAGAACUUGUACCUUGGUAGUAUCAAUUGUAUGUCACGAUGUUUACAUUACACAUUGAAACCAGAAAUGUUUUACAUUACAUUACAUUACAUAUAUA